UACGUAGGGCGCAAGCGUUGUCCGGAAUUAUUGGGCGUAAAGAGCUCGUAGGCGGCUUGUCACGUCGGUUGUGAAAGCCCGGGGCUUAACCCCGGGUCUGCAGUCGAUACGGGCUAGUUAGAGUAUGGUAGGGGAGAUCGGAAUUCCUGGUGUAGCGGUGAAAUGCGCAGAUAUCAGGAGGAACACCGGUGGCGAAGGCGGAUCUCUGGGCCAUUACUGACGCUGAGGAGCGAAAGCGUGGGGAGCGAACAGG
rnacentral:rRNA from 1 species